GACGAACGCUGGCGGCGUGCUUAACACAUGCAAGUCGAACGCUGAAGCUUGGUGCUUGCACUGGGUGGAUGAGUGGCGAACGGGUGAGUAAUAAGUGAGUAACCUGCCCUUGACUCUGGGAUAAGCCUGGGAAACUGGGUCUAAUACUGGAUACGACAUGUCACCGCAUGGUGGUGUGUGGAAAGGGUUUUACUGGUUUUGGAUGGGCUCACGGCCUAUCAGCUUGUUGGUGGGGUAAUGGCUCACCAAGGCGACGACGGGUAGCCGGCCUGAGAGGGUGACCGGCCACACUGGGACUGAGACACGGCCCAGACGCCUACGGGAGGCAGCAGUGGGAAUAUUGCACAAUGGGCGGAAGCCUGAUGCAGCGACGCCGCGUGAGGGAUGACGGCCUUCGGGUUGUAAACCUCUUUCAGCACGGAAGAAGCGAAAGUGACGGUACGUGCAGAAGAAGCGCCGGCUAACUACGUG
rnacentral:rRNA from 1 species